GAGGUUGCAGUGAGCUGAGAUCACGCCAUUGCACUCCAGCCUGGGCAACAAGAGCAAAACUCUGUCUCAAAAAAAAAAAAAAGUAGGAUGUAACUCCAGUAACAUUUGAAGAGUGCCAAGGAGUCCUCUCUUUAAAGGGAUCCUACAGUAUAUCAGUUUUUUGAAGCAAAGAAGCCUUUAGCAAUGCCACAAUCGCCUCUGAUUUAUUUGAUUAAUUUUUGUAAUACUUGGUUUUCUUAAAGCAUGGCACACUUAAACCAGUUAUUUAUUGGAAUAGUUUUUGUUUUCAAAGUCACUACCAAUUGAAUGUGCAGCCUUCACUGGUGUCAUUACCCCAUGCUUCCGUCUCAUUUUGCAAGAUAGUGUUAGAACUAAAGUGGGGGUGACCCCAAGGCGCCUUGAGCCUUGGCUCCAUGUUAGGGAUCCCAUAGAGGUACUACCACCUGAUCCUCUCCACAGCCUCGUGAGGUGCACCUCACAGCAUUUGCUGUUCAGAGGAGGGAACUGAGGUCUGAGAAGGAAAUUCACUUGCUGAAGUUAACUUGCUGCCUCCAGUGAGAGGCAGGAUUGAUAUUUGAGCCCACGUCUGUCUGACUCCAAUGCUAAUGAUUUUUACAUCCCGGCUGAAGGAUGAUAUUGCCAAGCCCUUAAAGAAGAAGGCAUAUUUGGACACCUCAUUAGCAAUUUGGGCGCUAAAUCAUACCCUGUUGGCCAGGAAGAAUUAAAGUUGCUGCCCAGGGCUCCCACCUCAGGUCCAGGGAGUAGCCUCAAUACUGAGGGAAUCUGAAUUAAGGAGCUUGGAAGUUCCCCCCACCUAGCUGUAGUGGGCAGUUUCAGAGUGGGCUGAUCCAGGAGUCCUGACCAGGUCAGUAGGGUGAUGUCUAGACUCCAGUACCACUGAGAAUGUUGCUAUGUUGGCUUUCUCUGCCACACAGAAAAGUCUUUUCUUUCCUUUUCUUUUCUUUCUUUCUUUCUUUUUUUUUUUUUUUUUUGAGACGGACCCUCCCUCUGUUGACCAGGCUGGAGUGCAGUGGCACAAUCUCGGCUCACCACAACCUCCGCCUCCUGGGUUCAAGUGAUUCUCCUGCCUUAGCCUCCCGAGUAGCUGGGACUAUGGGUGCGCACUACCAUGCCUGGCUAAUUUUUGUAUUUUUAGUAGAGACAAAGUUUCACUACGUUGGCAAGGCUGGUCUCAAACUCCUGACCUCGUGAUCUGCCCACCUCGGCCUCCCAAAGUGCUGGGAUUAUAGGCGUGAGCCACCACGCCUGGCCUAAGACUGUCUUUCCAAAUGACUUCAAAUUCCUUCAAAUGGGUAACUUCAUUUAACCAGGUGGGGGCACCUCCCAAAACACAAGUUACCCAGCUUUCAAGUUGUGGCUCUCAUAUAAGGAAGUAACUUUCUUUGAGAGUAUUUACUUGUGAAAUUAUAAAAGUAGUAAAUUUCUGGAAAAUGUCUAACAUGUAUUGCUAGCGUAGGCCGCAGGGCAUUGAGAAACGUAUACCGCUGCACUGCUGGCCCAGCUAACCAAGGGUCUCCUUCACUUCUUUGUCAUUAAUAGCCUGAGUAACUAACUCCACUUUAGUUCCCUCAACUGUGAAAUGGCAAGUGAUGCUAGAUUAUCUCUAAUGAUCUUUGCUAAAAUUUUAUGAUCCAGAUAUCCUUAUCUGAUUCUUUCUCAGAAUCACUUUAACAGUUUAAUAAAAACGGCCUGACAUCAAGAGUUUUUUUUUUUUUAAAGAAAAGAUACUCAAGCAUUGAUUAUAAAUUUCAACUUGACCCUUAAGUUUUUGCAAAUCUUUCCUACUCUUCCUUUAGGAUCCAGCCCACCAUCCCAUCCAGAACCACAGUGCCCUUUGGAAGACAGAGCUAUGCCAAAAGACAGCAGGAGCAGGCAGGGACACAAGGAGGCAGGGACUGGAGUGUGCUGAGCCAGUGAGAAUCAGUGUUUGACAGACCUGGGUCCUGUACCCAAAAAAACUUCCAGAGUUCCCCAUUAAGGAGCACUCUCAUCCCUGUUUUGUUACCAAGAGCUAAGAAAGCACUUCAUCCUGGAACUCAUUGUUUUCUGCCCAUUUUCCCCUAUGUAAUCCUCUUGGAUUUUGCAGACGUUUUAGGCCUGUUGUCUCUGGACACGACAACCACCUUCAGAGCUGGCACCGAGUUCUGCCUUGUGAGUGGUUUGCCCCAUCAGCCACUGCAUCCCUUCUUCCAACUAAACCUGAGCGUUCUCCUCUUUAGGAAGAAAUGAUACCAAUCGGCAUUUGGGUCCCAAAAUUCUCAUCUCUCACCUCCUCUUCACAGUCCCUUUCCCCUUAGGGCAGUCUGUGGGCAUCUCUCUAAAAUCCAUUUCCCAAUCUAGAUGUAGCGCUCAGAGUCCUGUUGAAUUUAUUUGGACAUCAAAAGAGCCACAAUACUUGUGCUUUUUUAUAGUUUUCUUUCAAAGAACAUUUCAGUCCAUGAGACAGAAAAAAAAUGGCUUUGCUGUAUCCAACUUGUCACAGGCUUGUAUUUGGCAUUGUUCUGAGAAAGACCUCAACCACUCGUGAAACCCAGACGUCAUUUCCCGUCGUGUUCUUUCAUGUUAAAUGCUUCUAGCUGCUCGCUGGUGCUUGGUCACUCUAUAACUAAAUAUUGCUUUAGCACUGGCUACACAAAGAGCUUCCUGAAAGCAGCAGGGGGGACAUGCUAGGGGCUUAACAAUAGGGGCACUGUUUCCAUUGAGCGGGUUUGCUGCCCAACGCUGUGUCAAAUGAAAGUGACCCAGGAGCACCACUGCUCCACUUCUGAGCUUCCACUUGUGACUUUUUCCUCACUGGGGAAAGAAGCUGGCUGUGAUUUAGAUGUGGCUAGCAAAAGGUUUAGUUCUGGCAUAAAAUCAGGCAUCAGAACGACUUUGAAAGAAAGUAAUUCACCUUCAAAAAUACAUGGGGAAAAAACUUCAUGAGCACCAGAGAAGCAUUUGGAAGAGUUAACCUUGGACAUGGCUUACGAGGGUGUAUUUUUAAGGCCAGACUCAGUUUUCAUUAUAUUGUUGCUAUGCAAGUAAAUAAAUGAGCUCACUGCUACACCCAAGCUGGGCAGAAUGAAUUUACAGAGAAUUAAUAAAUCCAGGGUAGGCAACAUGUGGCUUUUCUUCUGGUCAUAGAGAAGCAACUAGUACUCUUGGAUUUUAAGCAGGCAAACCUCUGUAGCUUUACAGUUUCUGAAAAUUGGAUCCCAGUUCUAAUGGGCAGGCAGUGAUAAUGGUAAUGUUUCUUUUCCUAAGGUUUUCUUUAAAGGGAAGGGAUCAAAUAGUUCAUUUAAGACAAAGAGGUUAUUAUAAAGUCUAAUAAAUACUGUGGUAGCUCUGUUAAUGCUUUUCAAGGGCAUUUAAGUGAAAGAAGCCCUUUCCAACAGGCAGUUUUGGAAAGCUAAACACUCUUGUUAAUUCAUGAAACGCAAAGAGAGAUAAUAUAAAUAAAUCAGGGGCUGGGGAGGAAUUAGAGAUAGACAGGAAGCAGUCAAAUUUUACUUCCCACAUAUGCCAAGAAAAGUGCAAAUACAUGGCUGUUACUUAGUAAAACCUACUUUUAAAUUCAGAGAAUCGUAGGUACUAUGAAUGGUGAGGUUAUAAAUCUGUAAUCAUUACAGCACGGGGACACUUUUUAACUUCUCAUCAAUUACCCAUUGUUAUUUCCUGAGCACAUCCUGGGUUACCUAGCUCCUGACUAGGCAUUAGGGAAGGACACAAGAAGCUGACUCCACACAUUAGUACUCUACUAAAUUCAUGGGUAAACUCCACUGGUCAAUAAUCAAGUCACUAUCUCUAUAUUGGAGGCAAAGGAUUGCACAAUUCAGGCUAUUUGUAAUGUUGCUUUGGAUUGUAGAGACUUAGACUCAGAGGAAUCACGGGACAUAGAAUCUAGAACAGGUCUGUGUCCCAUCAUUCUCUUAAAAGAAAACCUUUCAAGUAAUAUUUCUUAUUAUCUUUUAAAAUCUUGUUAAAAUGACAAAAUAUAUAUAUAUUUGUAAUUUUUAAAAUUUUGAUGCAUACAAAGAUAGACAUAGAUAGAUAGAUAAUGUAGAAGUAUAAAUAAUAAUAAGUCACUAGAGCAUGACUAACUAGUGAAGUUACCCAGUCUCCUCUCCAUCCCAUCUCUCUGUCUCCCAUCCACUCUACCCAACUCUUCCUUUCAAAGAGUAGGAUUUUUCUGCUUCGUUUUUUUACUGCUUUGUUCUUACUUAGGGUUGCUGGAAGCACAUGGAAGGAGGGAAGUAGUCAAAACAAGACAGUGUUGUGAGGGGAGAGAUGAGAAGUCAUGAUAAGUAGGUGGGUGGGUGACCCACAGGGCUGGCAUCAGAAGGAAACAUAGCAAAACAUGAUGGAUAUGAGGCUUGCUGUGGGGAGGGGGAUUGGCCUUUGUGAGUGGCAGCCGUCUGCUCCCUUCCCGCUUCCCUUAGUGCUCCAUUGAGCUAGCAGCAUGCAGCUGAGAAGUUGAAGUUCUGACCACAUGGCCUCUGCUGCCGCUGCUCUGCCCCAUCCCAGGCACCUAGCCAGCUCUGCAUUAAGGAGGUGAAGUGGAUGCCCAAGGAAAGAAGUGCCCCCAAGGAGACUUGCUGAGACCUUGAACAAGUGACACAAUGUGAGCAGAACUUGUCUUGACAGAAAAUGCUUUGUCUCUAGGUGUUCCAGAGAGAUGGGCAAGUGUCCUAUUUCUUAGUGAGAGCCUCUAAACAAACCAGCUUGUGAACCUCCACUGAAAAGAUCUCAUCUGAUGAGCAUUUUAAUAAAGUGUCCUGAGUUUGGAGGCUUGCCGUCUUUCUCUUGGAUAAAUAUCUUCAUCUCCUAGACUUGGAAAAACACAUUUUCUCCUGGGGUUUCCCAUUGGCGUGUCUUGAGCUGCUCUGGUGAUAACCGUAAUAAUGCCAAUACUGAUACGAACAGCAGAAAACAGUAACCCCAAGAACUCUACAGAUGAUCAUCAAGGACCACUGUCUCUUACCAUUUGCUGCUUUGGUUUGAAAUUCUCACUGCCUCGUAGAUCUCAUUUUGAGCACUAUACAUUCCUAAAGAUUGAUUUCUUUCUAUCUGACUUAAAUUUAGGAAUGAUUAAAUCUUCAUUUCUCCCAUGAUUUGAUCCUAAAACAUUUUGAAAGGAAACAGCCUUGAGAUCUGUGAUUACUAAGACAUACAUAACAUUCUUAUCACAUUAGAAAGCAAGAAUUGACUGUUGCUUGUCUUGUUCCUGUUGUCUUGUCCCCUGAAUUCCUGUUUAUCUUUGAUUGUAUGUGGGACAUUGUAUUUUCAGUACAUUUGUAGAAAUAAUGUGAAGCCUAUAAAGAUGUUCUCUGCCUCCAGAGAGAAUUUUGUUUCCUUCUGCCAGCCUCAUAGGCAAGCAUACAUCUGAUUCCAUGCUUUGAGCUGUUCUGGCAACCCUGAUGUCUUCAGCCUGUGCAAGGGUGGGUUUACUUCCAGUUAAUCCUUAUUUUGGAUACAGUCCUUAGGGUUCCAACCCAAAGUCGGGGGUGGUUUGGGGUCCCUGCCUUGGUGAGCCCUAUAGUCCAAUGUUCCCCCUUACCCAAAGAAGCUGUAGAAAACCCAGCACAGCCUCCCAGGCACCAGUUUCAGAUCAGCAAAAAAUAGCAAAUGCCCCCAGGCUUGAAAAGCAAUCUCACCUCUAUUAACUCUUCUCCCAAAGUUUGACCUAGUAAUUCUUUAUUAUCCUUGAACUCUUGACACUAUUAAGAAGAUCUUUUCGGCUGGGCGCAGUGGCUCACGCCUGUAAUCCCAGCACUUUCGGAGGCCGAGGCGGGCGGAUCACGAGGUCAGGAGAUCGAGAUCGUCCUGGCUAACACGGUAAAACCCCGUCUCUACUAAAAAUACAAAAAAUUAGCUGGGCACGGUGGCGGGCGCAGUGGGCGGGUGCCUGUAGUCCCAGCUACUCGGAAGGCUGAGGCAGGAGAAUGGCGUGAACUCAGGAGGCGGAGCUUGCGGUGAGCCGAGAUCUCACCACUGCACUCCAGCCUGGGCGACAGAGUAAGACUCUGUCUCAAAAAAAAAAAAAAAAAAAAAAAAAAAAAAAAAAAAAAAAAGAUCUUUCCUAGCUUUUCUUCAUUUUUUUAAGUUGUCUUCAGCAAGAUGGUUAAUCUCAAUUACCUAGUCCAUGAUUUCUGGAAGUCAAAGUCAAAAGGUAAAAUCUAUAUAGCCUAGGUGACAAUUACAAUAACAAUAACAAUAGCUAAGGCUUAUUAUGGCUUUAUGCCAGGUACUUUAUGCACUUGAUCUCAUUUAAUACUCAUAUAGCCUAUGAGGGAAGUAUAAUUUCCAUUUUACCUAUGAGAAAACAGGCUUAGAAUGGAACCUUUGUUCUCAUAGCUUGUGAGUGGUAGAACCGGGAUUUAGAUCCAGCUCUGCCUGAGUCCAGCUUCUGUUUGUCAAUUACUUCCCUCUUCAGACCUAAUUCUUCCAAUAAGCAACAGAAAAAGACCCAGUGGGGCCAUGGCCUCUGGCACACAGCUUCUCAUAAACGAGCCUAUCACACAUCCCCAGAACUAAAGCAAUCGUAUGUUCCUUCUGAUGUUGAGGUAAAAAGCAGGGUUUGUUUUGGUUUCCCUUUUCCAAAACACUCCCCCACAUGUUUCUGGCUUGUGGUUAAGAAGAACCCAGGUGUUCAUGUCACAUACGAGCUCAACUGGGGAAAAGGAAACCAUCCAGCAGCCCUCCUUGCCUGCCAAUAGUGGCUUCACCCAACUUGGGGUGCAUUCUUCUACAGUUUCUGAUUUCUCAACUUCACCUAACAUUCCCUUGCCUUCUUGGAUCCCUCUCUUGCCCAACACUACCAUGCAUGGCUGAUAGGGCACUGUUCUGCCCCAUAUCCCAUGGGUUCUACUUAACCCAGAGCUGGCUUACCUGGAAACCAAGCUUAUUCUGUAGUGGCAGACCUCACGCCAUCUUGCUUAAUAGCCUUCAGUUUUCCUUUAGUUGAUUAAUGUAUCACUCAAUAGAUUAUGCAAGACCUACUCUGCUAGGCACUGUACUAGGCCCUGUGGUUUAUAUUUAAAUGAAGAGGGAAUGAUCUCUGACUUUAAAAUGCUGGAAGAAGAGAUGAGAUGCAUCAAGACCGUCAAACCACAAGUGAUAAGUGCUGUCAGAGAUGUGUGGAUCACUGGCUCAGGGAGUUCCAAGGAUAGAGACAUAUUAUCUGUUUGGGAAGGGCUUGGUGGGGGAAAGGCAUUCAGCCGGGCCUUGAAAAUCAAUUAAAGUUUGAAUAUGAGGAAAGAAAGAAGAGCAUCUCAGACAAGGACAUGGCAUGGAUGAAGGCACAGAGGUAUGGGCGUGCAGGGCAUCUGUGGAAAUGGACAGCUCAGUUCUCGCCGAGGGAGGGAGUUGGUGCAGAGCCUGGGGGCCCUGCCUUCAGAAGAUUUCCAAGAGGAAGGAGGGCAAAAAUACACAGAUGAAGGCAAAGACUGGCAGCCCGGAGGCCAAAGACGCGUUUAGUUUGGCCAAGACACUGUUUUUAAAAUUUAAGUCAAUUUUGAAAACCAGGUUUCACAUAAAAUUCCAAAUUUCUGGCUUCUGAAAACGUGAAAGAUCUGGCAACACAGGGCGCAAUGUCUUCCCUCUUUCGGUAGAAGGAGUUCUGUCUCCCCGGCACCAAAGCCUGGCUUGUUUCUUCCCUACACCCUGCUUGCUCGGUCCGUGAGCAUCUGAGUAUAGGACCCUUGCUCUGCUAUGGGUACCAGCUCAGGGAACACAGAUGCAGAAACAUCAGAAAGAGUCCCAAGGGCCUCUCAUCCAACUUGCUGACUGUCAUCAUGCUGGUUCUCAGACCUCCCUAUCUCUCUCUGCUAUCCAAACACAGACCCUCCUCUUUAAAAUUUCAGCAUACAUGGCUUUCAAAAUUAUGAGGCAUGAAAGUGUCAAAAGCAUCUCCAGAAACUCAUGCCGCCAGGAUCUGAGACUCAAAACAGUGUGGAUCAAACACCAUCAAAGUGUGGGGUGGGGCAAUUCGAGUUUGUUUCCUUGUUUUUAUGUAAGCAGAUUAAUUAGAGAACUAACAUAACGCCAGUCUUUGGGCUUUUGAUCCUAUCCUGCCAGGACCCAGACUUGGAGAUGUAUUAAAUGGAUUCUUCCUUUUCUAAAUGGAAGAAUCUGCCCUUCUCGGCUUCAUAGCUCUUCUCAAAGUCUCUGUCUUGGACCCUCCCGUUAGUUACUGAGAAUGGUAUACUAACAUCUGAGAAAGGUUGGAUUCCUCCUAGGGACAGAAAAUCCACAUAUGGAAAGUGCAAAUCCUGUGCCGGGUAAUCACGAAAGCAGUUGCAGUAGCAUUGGAUCAUAGAGCCCCAGGAGACCUCACAAUUCAGCCCCCUUCCUGGCAACACUAAUGAAUUAAGAGGUCAGUUUGGUAAUUCCAAAGGCUAAGCCUUUGUAACUAUAAAUAAAUGCACAGAAUGAAAGGAAUGUAGAAAAAAAAAAAAGCAAACAGAGGGGGAAAGGAAAUGAAAAACCUGACUUGAUUUCAUUGAGAAAAUUAGUUUAAAAAUGUCCUUUGUGUAGCAAUUCCUUUAAUGCCUCACCGAACAAAUGCCUAGGAGAAUUCUUCCAAACUUGAGGUCCCCUUAACCAGACCUUGGUGUGCGUCUUCAGCUGAAAUUCAGCAGUUCUGGGAGGUGGAAUGAGGAGAGAUCGUUGGAAGGUUUUUGUGUACUUAUGUCACGCAGCAAGAAAAAGCCUUAAUGAACCACAAAACUGGAGACUUUGUAAGGUACAGCUCAGUCAGCACUUUUCCUCCGAGGAGAGGACACACAAUUGGCAUGAAAGUGACCCAAGCAACAGGUCGAGGCAGAGAAUGUCCAAAAGUAGAAGACUUCGAGCUCCCUGAUCUUCCACACGUCACAAUGCGGAUUGCUGCACUGGACUUGGCAUUUAAAUGGGACCAGCAUUUUGCAUCCUGGUCCCAUUUAAAUGCCAUUUGUGGACCAACGUGAAUUAGAUGGUAAUGUCAGGAAGGCUGGAAUCGGUGGUGGCGGGCGGGGGGUGCUGUAUUCGGUUGGCGUUUCCCCCCUGUGGUUUUCACCAUCUGUUUCUUUGAAUGCAUAAACAAGGAAAAUGACUGGUUUGGAAUGCAGAGUUUUAAAAAACCAGAAGACCACAGGCAUCCUCUAAAUGAGAAAGAGAGAGCAAGUUGGGGUUCUGUGACAUUUGUCAGGAAGUGAAAUGUUAAAUACCGGGAAGCAUUAGCGCUUUCUGCCAGGGAAGAUCCACAAAGGCAAGGAAACACUUUAGCGGUGAACCUGCCUUCCUUUUCUGAGGUCGUGCUAUGUGUUUAUAUGUCACCUAGUGCUAUUUUCAGACACCAACGCCACCCACUCUAGCUCCCAAUCCCCUUCUGGGUUUUUUGUUUGUUUGUUUGUUUUGUUUUGUUUUGAGACAGAGUCUCUCUCUGUCACCCAGGCUGGAGUGCAGUGGAACGAUCUUGGCUCACUGCAAGCUCCUCCUCCCAGGUUCACGCCAUUCUCCUGCCUCAGCCUCCCAAGUAGCUGGGACUACAGGCGCCCACCACCACACCUGGCUAAUUUUGUGUAUUUUUAGUAGAGAUGGGGUUUCACUGUGUUAGCCAGGAUGGUCUCGAUCUCCUGACCUCGUGAUCCGCGAUCCUUGCCCUCCCAAAGCGCUGGGAUUACAAGCGUGAGCCACCACGCCCAGCCUGUUUGUUUGAUUGUUUGUUUGUUUUUUGAGACGGAGUUUCACUCUUUUUGCCUAGGCUGGAGUGCAGUGGCAAGAUCUCAGCCCACUGCAACCUCCGCCUCUCGAAUUCAAGUGAUUCUCCUGCCUCAGCCUCCCGAGUAGCUGGGAUUACAGGCACAUGUCACCACACCCGGCUAAUUUUAUAUUUUUAGUAAAGACGGAGUUUCACCAUGUUGGCCAGGCUGGUCUCCAACUCCUGACCUUAGGUGAUUCUCCCGCCUUGGCCUCCCAAAGUGCUGGGAUUACAGGCAUGAGCCACUGCGCCCGACAUGCCCGCUUCUGUUUUUUAAACGAAAGAUGAACAGUUAAGCUGGACUUAGCCUUGGUUUUCCAUUAGCAUUAUUGCUAAGUUGGCAACCUUGGAUAAAAUCCACUCUUGGAAACUUUUAAGCUGAACAAAAGCUGCACUAUGAGCAGGUGCUAUGAUAAAGCCAAGACAGCGCUCUAAGUAGAGGGGCUGAUGAAAUAGACUAAGGGGAGAUCUUCAUUUCUCUCCUGGACAAUAGCGAGUAAAAAAAAAAAAACAAUCAUAUAAGGGCAUUAGGAACACAUUGUGUUUUUCUUUAGCAAAGGGCAUCCUGCUUUGAAAAGGAAGGUUUGCUAUGCACAAUACAGUGGCCAUUCUAUAAAGUGGUUCCGUAUGCUCCAUGCCAACAGACCUCAAAGCAAUAGGUUCCUUUUUUAAACCCAAGACAGUGGAGAGACUUGAUGGAAAUUUUGAGUGCAUACUAAUCUCUUUUACUUCGUUGCAAGAAACAAUCAGUUGUAAGCACUAGGGAUUAAAAGCCAAAUUGAACUCAGGCAUUUUGAGAGCGCCUGGGGAGAAGGCAUUGGUGCAUUUGGCUGAGUUCCACCCAUUUCAGCAUAAGAUGGACGUGGAGCAUUUUUCACAUAGUUCUGUAGGCAGCCUGACGCCAGAGUUUUCACUUCAGAGAAAGGAUAAAAGUUGACGGUUUCUUAGGGAACAACCAACUCUUCCUCAUUUGCAAUGUCUGUUCUCCUCAAAGAUGUCGUGGGCAACGCUUGAGAUGGGCACUCAAUGACUCAAAGGGUGGGGGUUAGGCAGAAACAAGACCCUGGGCAUUUAGAAGCCCUUGGACGAUUACAUAUAUUUCAAAAUGAGUUAAGUUCAAAUAAUUUUUUGCUGGUGCUUAGCACACCAAUGAAGUAUGUAGAUAUGAAAACAGGAGGCUGCUAGGUAAGAUUCAUUUUAUUGGCACUGGUUCCAGAUGCCAGCAUCGUGAUGAACGCUAUUUGACUUCUGAUAUCCCUUGACGUAGGUACUGUUGGGGAUGUUUUCUUUCCUGGUGGAAAUGGGAAAAUGAUUAGAGACCAGAGGUCAGGAGACCUGAAUUCUGUUCCUGGUGCCUCCCUGACUCAGUAUUUUGUUUGUUUGAUACGUUAGAAUGAAAGCUCCCAGAGGUUUCUAAGGACAGCACAGUUUGAGCAUUGGCUUUGUAAAAGUACUCUGGUGACCUGUGGAAUUACAGUUAUAAUCAUCAUAAUAAUGUCCAAUGAAGAGGCAUACUGAGGAAGGCAUGAGAGGAAUUUUAAGUGGCUAAACUCUAUUUGCAUUAUUCAUUUUACAAAUUGUUUCAGAGCCUUAAAGCAAAUUUCAGUAUGCGGUACUUUAGAUGCAAAAUGCUCCUCUAGGACUUUCAUAAGUUACACACAAGUAUCCCUUAAAGUAUAUUUCAGAAAUAUGCUUGCAGUGCAUCAACUCUAUCUGAUGAACUUUGAGAUGAUCACAAUUAAGGGUGAUAGAGAUAUUUUAGGGAUUUUUUUUCUCAUUGGGAUUCAAGAGGGAUUUAAAAGUUUACUAACCUGGGCCAGAUGCAGUGGCUCACACCUGUAAUCCCUGCACUUUUGGGGGCUGAGGUGGGUGGAUCACCUGAGGUCAGGAGUUUGAGACCAGCCAACAUGAUGAAACCCUGUCUCUACUAAAAAUACAAAAAAUUAGCUGGGCAUGGUGGCGUGCACCUGUAAUCUCAACUACUCAGGAGGCUGAGGCAGGAAAAUCACUUGAACCCGGGAGGCAGAGGUUGCUGUAAGCUGAGAUUGUGCCACUGUACUCCAGCCUGGGGAGCAAGAGCAAAACUCCAUUUCAAAAAAAAAAAAAAAAGUUUACUAACGUGGUGUCUACUUGUCUCCUUCCUGUUAUGUCUUCUUUCUUUGGUUUCUUUCUAUCUUUUUAUGAGGGAGAGUUGAGGGAUGAGUGCUUAGUUAGGAGGCAAGGAGAUUCAAGGACUCAGGCUUGGAAAUUUACACCUCUGUGCCUUCUCUCCCACAGGUGAUAACCCCCGUGAGGACAGGCCAUGGCUACGUAUACGAGUACCCAUCCAGAUACCAAAAGGACGUCUAUGAUAUCCCUCCUUCUCAUACCACUCAAGGGGUGCGUACCAGAACAUGGUCACAAGAGGAGAAGCGCUUCUAAGGGUAGCAUUCCUUCAGGGCUGUAGAGAAAAGGGAGUUCACAAAUUAUGCAUUAAUAUAUGUCAUAUGAAGCUUUGUUUAGGUUGUCUACCCAGUAGCCACUUUAGCCAAUGCUAUUUAAAUUAUGUUUUCUGGAUUUGCUUUAUCAGGAAAUCCUAGUAUUUCACCCAAGAGAGCUUAUGUUCUUCUACAAUUUUGCUUCAGAAAGUAGAUUUUUCUUUUUUCUUUUUUUUUUUUUUAAGACAGAAUCUCACUUUGUUGCCCAGGCUGGAGUGCAGUGGCUCUAUCUCAGCUCACUGCAACCUCCACCUCCCAGGCUCAAGCAACUCUCCUGCCCCUGCCUCAGCUUCCCAAGUAGCUGGGACUACAGGCACACACACCACCAUACCUGACUAAUUUUUGUAUUUUGUAGGGACAGGCUUUUGCCAUGGUGGCCAGGCUGGUUUUGAACUCCUAACUGCAAGUGGUCUGCCCACCUCGGCCUUCCAAAGUGCUGGGAUUACAGGUGUGAGCCACGGCCCCCAGCUGGAAAGUAGAAAAUUUAAACUACACUUUAAAGUACAGACAGCGUAGAUAUUUCACAUAAGAUCUUUUUUUUUUUUUUUUUUUUUUUUUUUGAGACAGAGUCUUGUUCUGUCACCAGGCUGGGAGUGCAGUGGCACGAUCUCAGCUCACUGCAACCUCUGCCUCCCGGGUUCAGGCGAUUCUCCUGUCUCAGCCUCCCAAGUAGCUGGGACUACAGGUGUGCACCACCACACCCAGCUAAUUUUUGUAUUUUUAGUAGAGAUGGGGUUUUACCAUGUUGGCCAGGAUGGUCUCGAUUUCUUGACCUUGUGAUCUGCCCACCUCAGCCUCCCAAAGUGCUGGGAUUACAGGCGUGAGCCACCGUGCCUGGCCAAAAUCAUUUUUAUAUUAAAUGUAAGUUAAAAACCAUAAAAUGUAUUAAAAAAAAAGGCAAUAAAUCUGUUAUAACAUGGAGCACUGCCAAAGAUCAAGCUUGUACAUAACCUGGUAAAUAAAUCCAUAAUUAAGUGCUUAGGAGCAUAAAAAAUGACCAAGUAUAAGACAUUUCCAUUCUGGGUAACUCAC
rnacentral:misc_RNA from 1 species